rnacentral:lncRNA from 1 species
UUGUCAAUUUAUGGCCUGAACAAAAUUGUUUUGUCUUUAUAAGAAACAUUUGAAAAUUAUAGAUGCCUUUUAAGGAAAUAAAAUAUAUGAAACAAUUUACUUUGCUUACUUAUCCAAAGAUUCCUUUAAGACUUUGAAUCUGGAAAUUUAAAUGAAACUUACUUUAUCCUGAAGUCAACAGCCCCAUUUUACUCAGGCUGUGCUUGGUUUACUCUGCUCUUUCUAAUUCUCCAACCUUCUUAGAGUCAUAACUCAACUUAUUUUGGAAGCAAACUUAACUCUGCCUCAUUCAUCUCAGGAUAUGGGCUUGUCCCUUCUGGUCAUUUCUUUUUUAAUUAGUAUUUGAACAUAAUUUAAUUUAUUGGAACUAAUGAUCAAGAGGUUAAGUAGUGUAAGUAAAGA